rnacentral:rRNA from 1 species
CAGCAGCCACGGUAAUACAGAGGGUGCGAGCGUUAAUCGGAUUUACUGGGCGUAAAGCGUGCGUAGGCGGCUUCUUAAGUCGGAUGUGAAAUCCCUGAGCUUAACUUAGGAAUUGCAUUCGAUACUGGGAAGCUAGAGUAUGGGAGAGGAUGGUAGAAUUCCAGGUGUAGCGGUGAAAUGCGUAGAGAUCUGGAGGAAUACCGAUGGCGAAGGCAGCCAUCUGGCCUAAUACUGACGCUGAGGUACGAAAGCAUGGGGAGCAAACAGGAUUAGAUACCCCGGUAGUCCCUGUCUCUUAUAA